rnacentral:rRNA from 1 species
GAUGAACGCUGACAGAAUGCUUAACACAUGCAAGUCAACUUGAACUUCGGUUUGGGUGGCGGACGGGUGAGUGACGCGUAAAGAACUUGCCUCACAGCUAGGGACAACAUUUGGAAACGAAUGCUAAUACCUGAUAUUAUGAUUUUAGGGCAUCCUAGAAUUAUGAAAGCUAUAUGCGCUGUGAGAGAGCUUUGCGUCCCAUUAGCUAGUUGGAGAGGUAACGGCUCACCAAGGCGAUGAUGGGUAGCCGGCCUGAGAGGGUGAACGGCCACAAGGGGACUGAGACACGGCCCUUACUCCUACGGGAGGCAGCAGUGGGGAAUAUUGGACAAUGGACCAAGAGUCUGAUCCAGCAAUUCUGUGUGCACGAUGAAGUUUUUCGGAAUGUAAAGUGCUUUCAGUUGGGAAGAAAAAAAUGACGGUACCAACAGAAGAAGUGACGGCUAAAUACGUG